UUCCUACGGGAGGCAGCAGUGGGGAAUUGUUCACAAUGGGCGAACUGACGCAACGCCGCGUGGAGGAUGAAGGCCCUCUGGGGUUGUAAACUUCUUUUACUUGGGACGAAACCACCUUUUUCUAAGGGUGUUGACGGUACCAAGGGAAUAAGCACCGGCUAACUCCGUGCCAGCAGCCGCGGUAAUACGGAGGGUGCAAGCGUUAUCCGGAUUCACUGGGUUUAAAGGGUGCGUAGGCGGGCAGGUAAGUCCGUGGUGAAAUCUCCGAGCUUAACUCGGAAACUGCCGUGGAUACUAUCUGUCUUGAAUACUGUGAAGGUGAGCGGAAUAUGUCAUGUAGCGGUGAAAUGCUUAGAUAUGACAUAGAACACCAAUUGCGAAGGCAGCUCACUGCGCAGUUUAUUGACGCUGAGGCACGAAAGCGUGGGGAUCAAACAGGAUUAGAUACCCUGGUAGUCCACGCCCUAAACGAUGGAUACUCGACAUACGUGAUAUGACUAUGUGUGUCUGGGCGAAAGCAUUAAGUAUCCCACCUGGGAAGUACGACCGCAAGGUUGAAACUCAAAGGAAUUGGCGGGGGCGCACAAGCGGUGGAGCAUGUGGUUUAAUUCGUGAUACGCAGGAACCUUACCUGGGCUAGAAUGCAGUCUGACCGUGGGUGAAAGCUCAUUUUGUCGCAAGACACAGAUUGUAAGGUGCUGCAUGGCUGUCGUCAGCUCGUGCCUGAGGUGUUGGGUUAAGUCCCGCAACGAGCGCAACCCCCAUCAGUAGUUGCCAUCAGGUAACGCUGGGAACUCUACUGAAACGCCGUCGUAAGACGUGAGGAAGGAGGGGAUGAUGUCAAGUCAUCAUGGCCUUUAUGCCCAGGGCUACACACGUGCUACAAUGGGGCGUACAAAGGGCUGCCACUUAGCGAUAAGGAGCCAAUCCCAAAAAACGCCUCUCAGUUCAUAUCGCAGUCUGCAACUCGAUUGCGUGAAGCUGGAAUCGCUAGUAAUCGUAUAUCAGCAAUGAUACGGUGAAUACGUUCCCGGGC
rnacentral:rRNA from 1 species